CUCCCUAUGGCUCAGUUGGUAGAGCAUGGCGUGUGCAACGCCAGGGUUGUGGGUUCGAUUCCCACGGGGGGC
rfam:Salmo salar isolate Sally breed double haploid chromosome ssa04, whole genome shotgun sequence.